AUGCGCUCUAGCCAACAGCUUGCAGGCUAGUCUACAUGAUGACAUUAUUAUGGAUAGGAGCAAAUAAUAUAUUUUUUUGUAGUCAAGCAUCGAUCAUCAUGUCACCAGAAUAAGACCCUCGAUAUUUAUUGGAAAGGAGCAUCAAGAUCACUGUGCACUUUCACCACAAAAUGAAUCUGUAGCCAAAUAAACUGCAUGGUUUCCGGAAUCGUAUGCGGGAGGACCACACGCAAUAUCAUCGCGUGACUUCAAGUUUACUUCGAAAUGAUGGGUUGACAAUGAAGAUGGGUUCCUGGCAUUCUUGAACCCCAAUAAAAAGGGCAGGUUAAAAGUUUACAAGCACCCAUGCAGGAAGAUGGCUGGGCCAGAAGAGCAACAGCUGAAAGAGGAUAUCUACUAACAACUCCAGUGGUGAUUAGUUCUCAGAUGGCUUGUAGCAGGGCUCAAAGGUUAUUGAACAUUGUGGUUAACUAGACACCUGUCUGACCUAACUCCAGGUCCACUGACCUUACUUGUGCAAGUAUGCUCAAGACCUCUCAACUUUAACAUUUCAUUGAAUAUUGUUGUCUCUUGGUUGACGCCUUGGAGAUCGAAAGAAAAUAUUAAUCAGAA